rnacentral:rRNA from 1 species
CCUACGGGAGGCAGCAGUGGGGAAUAUUGGACAAUGGGCGCAAGCCUGAUCCAGCCAUGCCGCGUGAGUGAAGAAGGCCUUAGGGUUGUAAAGCUCUUUCACCUGCGAAGAUGAUGACGGUAGCAGGAGAAGAAGCCCCGGCUAACUCCGUGCCAGCAGCCGCGGUAAUACGGAGGGGGCUAGCGUUGUUCGGAUUUACUGGGCGUAAAGGGCGCGUAGGCGGUAUGCCAUGUCAGGGGUGAAAGGCCUGGGCUCAACCCAGGAACUGCCUUUGAAACUGGCAAACUAGAGUCCGAUAGAGGAUGGCGGAAUUCCCAGUGUAGAGGUGAAAUUCGUAGAUAUUGGGAAGAACACCAGUGGCGAAGGCGGCCAUCUGGAUCGGCACUGACGCUGAGGCGCGAAAGCGUGGGGAGCAAACAGGAUUAGAUACCCUGGUAGUCCACGCCGUAAACGAUGUGUGCUAGACGUUGGGGGCCUUAGGCCCUGGGUGUCGCAGCUAACGCGUUAAGCACACCGCCUGGGGAGUACGGCCGCAAGGUUAAAACUCAAAUGAAUUGACGG